AUGGCGGAGAACGACAAGCUCGAGGCUGCGCCCUCUGCGCCGCAGCGCGGAGCCGAGGAGGCCGCUAACGCCGUCCGUCCGCUGCAGCAACAGCCACCGCAGCUGCAGCAACAGCCACCGCAGCAGCAGCAACAGCCGCCACCGCAACAGCAGCCACCGCGGGAUGAGGAGGCGGCGGCGGUAGCCGCAGCAGCAGCCACAGCGGCAGUCACCGAGAGUGGCGGAGGCAGUGCUAAUGGCGUCAAAAUGGGUAAUGAUGAGACAGCAAAAGAAGAGAAAGUACCUGCUAAAGAAAAGUAUGUUGCAAAACCGAAGGCAAUCCCUUCUCUUGGAAGCAAGAAUAGAUUCCACCCCUAUUCAAAGGACAAGAAUGCAGGCACUGGAGAGAAGAAGGCUGUUAAUCGUAAUAGAGUUUUUAUUAGCAACAUCCCAUAUGACAUGAAAUGGCAAGCUAUUAAAGAUCUUAUGAGAGAGAAAGUUGGUGAGGUUACAUACGUGGAGCUGUUUAAGGAUGCUGAAGGAAAAUCAAGGGGUUGUGGUGUGGUUGAAUUCAAAGAUGAAGAAUUUGUUAAGAAAGCAUUAGACACUAUGAACAAAUACGAUCUUAGUGGAAGACCCCUGAAUAUUAAAGAGGAUCCUGAAGGUGAACAUGCUCGUAGGGCAUUACAGCGUGGAGGAGGACAGUUUCCAGGAGGACAUGGACCUGAUGUAGCACCUGGAAUAAUGAAUUUACCACCUUCUAUUCUCAAUAAUCCAAACAUUCCUCCUGAUGUUAUCAGUAACUUGCAGGCAGGCAGGCUUGGUUCCACUAUUUUUGUUGCUAAUCUUGACUUUAAAGUUGGCUGGAAGAAACUGAAGGAGGUAUUCAGCAUUGCAGGAACUGUAAAGCGUGCAGACAUCAAAGAAGAUAAGGAUGGCAAGAGUCGAGGGAUGGGAACAGUUACCUUUGAACAAGCAAUUGAAGCUGUUCAAGCAAUAUCUAUGUUCAAUGGACAAUUCCUGUUUGAUAGACCCAUGCAUGUAAAAAUGGAUGACAAAUCAGUUCCUCAUGAAGACUUCCGUGCUGGAGACAGCAAAACUUCACAAUUACCUCGUGGUCUUGGUGGUAUUGGUAUGGGACUUGGACCAGGUGGACAGCCUAUCAGUGCAACACAAUUGAACAUGGGCAGUGGAAUGGGGAGCAUGGGUCCAGGAGGUAUGGGAAUAGACGGUCCAGGAUUUGGUGGAAUGAACAGAAUGGGAGGCGGACUUGCUGGACUUCGUGGAAUGGAAGGAAUGCCUAAUAUGGGAGGAUUUGGAGUUAACCGAAUGGGAGAAAUGUUCCGUGGUGGAAUGGGAGGAAACAUGGACAGAGAAUUUGGUCGUGGUGAAAUGGCAUUGAACCGUGGUUUUGGAGAUUCUUUUGGAAGGAUGGGUGGUGCAAUGAUUGGUGUUUUUGCAGGAGGAUUGGGAGCACCUAGCAUGGGCCCAGUAAGAUCUGGAAUGAGUGGUGGAAUGGGUGGCAUGAACAGUAUGCCUGGAGGAAUGGGAAUGGAUCGGAUGUGUUCGGGUUUUGAUCGAAUGGGACCAGCUAUGGGUGGAGGUUUGGACAGGAACAUCGAUGUUGAUCGAGGAUUUGUGCCUGGGCCAAUGGGAAGUGGCAUGAGAGAGAGAUUAAGCAAUAAAGGCAACCAGAUAUUUGUGAGAAAUCUUCCUUUUGACUUGACCUGGCAGAAGUUAAAGGAGAAAUUCAGUCAGUGUGGUCAUGUAAUGUUUGCAGAAAUAAAAAUGGAGAAUGGAAAAUCAAAGGGCUGUGGAACAGUCAGAUUUGACUCACCAGAAUCUGCUGAAAAGGCCUGUAGGAUAAUGAACGGCAUAAAAAUCAGUGGCAGAGAAAUUGAUGUACGCUUGGAUCGCAAUGCAUAACUUAAAACUGUGUGUUCAGGAACAUUCCUAUGUCUGUUUAGCUUCUCUAUCCUAGUAAGUAAUUUUUAGUAACAUUGUAUGCUUACAAAAGCUGUAAAAAGGAACUUUUAAAUCCCACCAGCCUUUAACAGUAUAGUGUUUAAUAUACUGUGAUACUUGUUAAAUGAAUCUUAUGAUGUUUGGUUUUUAAAGACAAUUUGCCUGAUUUUUGUUGUCUUUUUAGAGGCACAGAGCACCUGCAGGUCCCUGUUAGGCCAUGGAAGCUUUGGGUGCUCAGUGCCUUUGGAAAAUUAGGCCAAGUGUCUCUAGUCAUUCAGUUUAAAUGAAUGGUUAUACUGUUUUUAAUAAAAUAAGCCAUUUUCUCUGUUAAUCUCAAGAUUGCAUAGUGGGAUUUGUUUAGUGUCUUCUUAUUUUUAUCCCCCCAGUGUGUAUCAACAUUGUAAUGUAAAAACUAGAUGUCUUUUUCUUUCAUUUUUCCAGAAUUUUGGUUUUACAUGUGCAUUGUCCUCAUACUGUAAUUCUUGUCUCUAAAAGAAAGGGCUCCAAUUAGGCUGUAAUGUUUUUGUUCUACUUAAUAUUACUUUAAUGACAUGACUUAGUUCUGUAAAUAAGAGUUAGAGCCCAAUGGGAGUUUGAAUUUUUUUUUAUUAUUAUUUUAACUAGAUGAAGAAACUGGUCUUUAUCUUUUUUCUUUUUUUUUUAUCAGUAUAAUAUCUGAUUAAAACUAGUUCCCACAGACUCUUGUAGGAUUGUUCCCUAUGAUACCAAGUUCAUAUAAAAUUGAUAAUACAGUAAAUACUAAGUACAGUGCAAGACAAAUUGCUCCCAGUUUUUUAUCUAUUUUCCACCCAUUCAGGUGAACUGCCAGAAAAAUAAAAACAACAGAACAGAUAAGAGAAAUGGCUGUAUAUGUCAAACCACUGCUGUUUACUUCUACGGGUCCUGAUGUAUUUAUGAAGGCAGUUCUUAUAAACCAGGGUAUUCCCAAACAGAGCAUAUCAAAUACAUUGGAUCCUACAAUGUUAGACAUAGCCAUAUCUCCAUUUCCUGUAAAAGAAGAAAUACAAAUAAGUCUGUGUAAUUGUACUGUAUAAAAUUGCCAAACUGUUUUGGAGCAGCAGACUGUCAGCCCUCAGUCUCUCACAGAGCACCCUUUUCAGACUUUUCAUUGAAAGAGCUAUACUCACAAUUCUGCAGAACAUGGUUUUGGGUACCACAAGCAUUAAAAAAAGUCUCCCUAAAUCACCAGCAUCUGCGCAGUUGCGCUUAAAACAAGCUAGACAGUCUUGUAAAGUCCAGUCAUGUUAAAAAUCCCAAGACCUACAGUUGUGUUUUGCAGUAAAAGUGUAACACUUGAUCAACAACAUAUCAAACCAAUCUGGAAUACUUCUCUGAGAUACCAUGAGAGGUUUUUGAAUGUCUGAGCCACAGCUUCUUCAGGUAAGCUAUUUAUUUAUUAGUAGUACACUUCAGCUCUAGAAUCUGGAGCAGAAACUUUGAAGUUACUUCUUGAAUUCCUUGGAAGUGUUGACUCAAAAUUCUUUUCUUUAAUAGUAACUUUUAAAAACAUCCAUCAGAACAAGUCUGAAUACCAAAAUCUUUACCUUUUCUAGCCACCAGCACGCUUGCAACUGUAUCUGGUACACUUGUUCCUGCUGCCAGUAAUGUGAGACCCGUUACUGACUCUGGAAUUCCCAGUGUUUCACCUGCAGUUGAUAAAUCCAUUAGAAAAUGCAAGUAUGUUUUUAGUUAAAGUUUCAUCCAAAAAAAUUUGGACUUUGUUCUCUGGGGAGAAAGAAUUAAUUAUCAUACAGUAAUUUUAAAAGGAAUGUGUUGGCUAACUUGACUAAAUAAGAAGUGACUGAACCAUUAAUAGUUAAGAACAAUAACAAAGAAAUAGCAUCCUGUCCAUAUUCUUCAAUGAAAUAACAAAGGAACUGUAGUGUAGUAAUCAUCUUGCUUAAUAAGUAUCUCGAAAGCCUGAGUGGAGUGUCUCCAGUGGUCAAGACAAUACCAAUUAUGGUAUAUUUUAUUUUGGGUACAGUAGAAGUUUAAAUAUCCAACAAUUUACACUUCCCUCCAACUUUUAGGAAAUAGAAAAUUUUCUGGUUUUGAGCAUAUUAUGAUUGGUGCUCAAAAGUCUUAUGAAGCAAUAACUCUUAUAGUCACCCUCUAUAGUGGUAGGAAAAAAGCACAUGAAUUUUCUUGGGAGGAGGGUCCUUAGGAUCAUUACUUACAAUCCUGUCUCAACUACAUGGCUUUAUUAUUUCACUCCAGUUAGGUUUUGUGUUGGGUGUAGUUGGAUUUGGAAGAAUCAUAACGCAGAAUUUUUAUGACUUUUAAGUGCAAGUUACUCUUGUGUGAGUUUCUUUAGAUAAAUACUGGCUUAAACUAAGAAGUUUUAAAUUGUUACUAAAACAGCAGCCCCACAUGUCCUGGAAGCAUAUUAAUUUCUCACUUAAAAUAUGUGGAUUUAGCUCUUCAGGACUGUUUUAGUGGUUGUACUAUUCACAAGCAUCAAUAUGCUGAAGUGUUUGAUAUCUCUAUUUAGACUAUUAAGUAAUUAGUUUUUCUCUAACUUUUCUGUUCACUAAAAGCAUCUUGAUACGUUUUUUUGGGGGGGAAGGUUGAAAUCUGAAUUCUCAUUUGCAAUAUGUGGACGCUAAUAAAGAGCAGUUUUCUUAAAGUAAGAGGCAGUGCUUGGAAGCAAUGCUUGCCUGUACCACCCAGCGUAGUCUGGAUCACUUAAGGAAAUUUAUGUUUGAAACUGUUGGUUCAAAGGGACUAAUACGAUCCUGUUGCAGAAUAUGUACCAGUGUUUAUUCUCCCAUCACUCCUAAUGUAAGAGAUUUAUAAGAUGAGGGACCAAGAAGAUCAGCUUUUAUAAACCAUCCAAGUGGAAAAUAAUGGUUUAUGCCAAGCAGACCAGUGUGAAAUAUGAAUGAACCCUCCGUGUUGUACCCAAUAGUGGUUUCUAGCCCUCUGAACGUUAUCAGAUAGAAUCUAAACUCAGGUGAAUCUAAAUUUUUCUUUUUAUUUUAGAUAGAUGUAUUUUCUAUUUAAUGUGAAGGGUUGUUUGUUUUUUUUCUGGCAACUGACAUAAAUAGAGAAUGGUUUUAUUUUUCUAGCCUUUAAUUAAUUUUGUGUAUCAGUAGCAAUAUCUUGCUAUAAGUAGUAGUAUUCUGUUAGGAUUUUUUUUUUUUGCUAGCAACAAAAAAGUCACUAGGGUUUGUUCCCGAUGAUCAAAAUUCAGUCCCCAGUUAUGAUAUCUUUGUGAUGUUCUGAUAGGCUGUUACGCCACAACAGAAUCUUUGAGUCACCCUUCAUAAAAGAACCUGGACUUGAAUAGAAUGUGUGUUAUUUAGUGGUUUAACAUGUAAAUAGAAUAUAUUGGACCUAGAAGUAGUGGGUUAAAGACCCCAAUACUGCUUGUGAUGACUGUUCAAAGUGGACUAACACUAAUACACUCUCUGAAUCUCCAGUGUACCUGCUUUCACAUGGAUUAGUGGUUUGUUUUCUAGCACAGCAAUAACUUUCAUUUGAGUCCUGUUUUGAAGGCUUCUAUCAUUCAGACAGUAAACCUUUGCCUCUAGAUACAAGUAGAAAAUUUUUUGACCCGGGAGUGAACCUGGUGGGCAUUACUUCCAGUGAUCUACUAGUCAUUUCUCAAAGGUUUACCAAAUGUGUCUGUUUCUGCACUGAACAAGGAGUUAUUCAUCAAACUUAAGUUGAAAACAACUUUAGGAUGCUGUACUAGCAGAAUACUUGAGUAGGGUUAGUGAGCUCUACUGUGGAAAUAGCAAGCUUUGUAACCUUUCUUGUUUAGAGAUUUGCUGCUUGUUCUUAAAAUUAAAAACUGGAUUUGUUUUUUUUUUUCAAGCUGACUGGAGAAACAAUGAAAUGAGAUCUUUAAUAACUGAAGAUAGUUUUAAGAGAACGUUUUUACACAGAAAUUUUCUUACCCCUUAUCUCACUCCAGUGCAAUUCUUUUACUACUUUAUGGUUAAGAUUUAUAAGAGGUAUACAUACACACCAAAAAUGUUUAAUAAAUCUGUGAUGCUAUAGGUGUAAUAAAAUAGUACAGAAAUCUAGGAGAUGCUUUUGGCAAUUAAUUUAAUACCCAAUCUCUUACUGUAGUACUCAAGCAAAAAUACAGGUAUAGAAAUAAUAGUUUGUUUAUGGAACUCUGUACCUUUAAUUCCAGUCUGGGUGGAUUGUUUAUCAGACUUCAACUUGACAGGUCUAUUUUUGUGUAUUUAAUUAUUUCACUUAAUGAAGAAGUUUCAUGAAAGUUUCUCUUUAAAUACAGGAUUUUUUUUACAGCUAUGUAAACAAAUUCUCAUUCAUGUGCUGGUAAACAGUCUGAAGCAGCUAAACUUUAAAGUGGUUUUCAUUAGAUGAAAGAAGGUGGCAAGUUAAGCAGUCAAACAUGUUUUUGUUGGGUUUGUUGUUUUAAGCAAAGUAUGUGUUGCUAAACUGAGUGUUAAUUGUGGAAAGGAAAACUCUUCACAGGGGGAAAAACUGUGGUUUUUUUUCAGUGAUUCUUAAUUGGUUGAGUCUGUGUCUAGCAGCAGCACUUCAGGUACCUACCUGCUAUUGUUAUCAUCCAUACUAGGAUGUAAGUUAUGGCAGAAAUCCAUGCUGCUGACAUUAAAAAUGUCACCAUGAACCAGUUCCUCCAAAACUGUCUUCUGCAAUCUGGUAUAGUCAAAUAGAGUAGUGUAAUAAUAGGAAGGGAUAACACCCACACAAUUCUCUUCAUAUCUGCUUCAGGCAUGGUGAAGACACUUAGAUGAUCUGUUGAGGAAAAACACUAUUUUAAAUUGUAGCAUGGUUUGAAUCCAUAACAUAGCCAUGUUACUGGCAUCUACUUGUGAGAAUACUGAAAACAGGUUAAAAAUACUUCAAGCUGUAGUCUUACCCAGUACCUACAUCACACUGGGUGAAACUCUGAAAUCAGAUGUUCUUUGUUACCAUGCCAAGUAGGAGAGAACUAAGGUGGGUGAACUUUUCUAUAAAGGUCUACACAAAAGGUUUACCAAGAGUAAGUACCAGCUGAUGGUUUUUGCCUAAGUGAAGAGGAAACUGAUGAUCUGUGGUCACAUCAUAGCUAUUUCUGUACUUCUGAUGGUAAUGCAUGUUUUGCGCUUUUUCUAAUUGUCGUAAGAAAACAGUAUUAGUACAGUACCAGUGUGUCUUUCAGCUGAUUAUAUCUUACAAGCAGCAUUGCAGGGAAGUUUCUAAUGUGCACAGCAAAGACUGAUGGAAGUCUGCUGUUCUAAUAUGACACAAAUGAAUUACUAUCUUAGCAUUCCUCUAGUAACUAACUUCAUUUAAGAACCACCAUUCUGGUUUUACUUGAUAUUAUGUUCCAGGGAAGAAUAAUGCUUUACUUAAAUACAAUGCUGGGGUUCUUUUGUGAACAAAAUCUUAAUACUAUCUCAGAAUCUACUCUUUAUUAGAAAUGAUGCAGACAGGCAUGCAGAAUAUAAAGACAACUGUAAUAAUACUUCUACCUUCAGAGAUUUCAUCAAGCCCAUGCAAGCUGGUUGAAAGCUGAGAGUAGUCCAGCUCAUCUUGAAAAAUGCCACUAUCUGUUCUUGACUGUUGUCGGAUUAGAGGUCCACUCUCUUCCCUCCACCCAACCAGUGGCUGCUGCUCAGCAUUCUCUUCCAUAGCUUUUGUAAAACACACACAGCAGGGACUGAACCUUUUCAUGAGGUAUUGGUUGAUUUUAAUGUCAAAACAUAGUAUGAGAAUAUAACACCCGUAUAUCAAUAAUAAGGAUGCACUUUCAUACCUAGAAUGAGAAACAGGUUUUACAUAACAUAUAGUACAAAAAACUCACAACUGUUUGACUCAUUAAAGUGGCUGGUGUAAGGAGAGAGAAAAUUUGUGAGUAGCAAAAGGAAAACACCCAAAUUAUCUGUUUGCAGUUGUAUGGUUGAUCUCAUGAAAGUUCGUGAGUGUCCCCAUGUCUUUCAGCAAUUGGAAUGAUUCCACUCCCCUGCAGAAUCUUGUCUGUGUAUUGUAUAGCUGCCUGUCUUCCAGGGGAUCUUAAUGAACAGCGUCUUAUUGAUUGUGAAACUGAGUCUUCAUGUAAUGGUUAUAGAGAAGAUAGUGUGUGCUAUUUUGAGUUGAAAACAGCAGACUUUGUAUGGGACAUGACUGAAUUGUUGAGGCAGCUGGGAAUUUCAGUUUACCUGGAAGAGAGUUAAAACCUCAGAAGCUCAUGAUCUACUUCUAGUAGAUAAAGGCUGAAAAGGAGUAGAGUAUGAAGACUAAUUGCUAUGCCAGAACAGUGGUGGUAGAAAUUAUGAAGUCUCUACAGACAAACCUAUGCAGAGUAAACUUUAUAAAUAUGCAGGGUUUGAAUGUUUAGGUAAUAAUCUUUAUGAGCAUUGUGACUUUCUUGGUUGUAUUUUGGUUUUGUUUUUGAUUAGCCAACAGGAUGUUUAUUUCUGUUAGUGAAUGGUAGUUCAGGCUACCUGAAGUUUGGGGCUUGGGGUUUUUGGUUUGUUUUUCAAACCAUUGUCUCGCUAAUCUCCAGUCAACAUGAAUUCCAACACUACUUGUGCUCUUACCAGUAAAUUCUGUUGUCGGAUAUCAUCGCAAGGACUGCUGCCACACUAACUGUAUAUGCCAGGCAGUCUCUAAACAGCGGCCAACAGGAUAGCUUUGACACCUGCAGAACACAGAUUCAUUUCCUUUUCUUGAACUUGUCUGUAAUACUUUCACCAAGUGCUGUAAAUGCUGCAUCAAUAUGUUGUUUCUAUAUAAUGUAAAAAUUUAAGAUUCUUAGGAAUGACUUGAGUAUGAUAUUUAACAAGUUAAUGUUUUUAAAAACUUUCAUAGCAAGUUACCUUAAAACAUGCUGGUUUUGCUACUAAAUAAUAAACUUGGCAGUUGUCAUAGUAAGUCUCUCUUGGCUUUUGUUGGCAAAUCAGAAAGGAUAACCAUUUGGCUCUUAGGAGCAGAACUAUCAAAAUUGAUACCUACCACGCUGGAAAACAGCCCACAAGCUGCAGAAAUACCAAGAAGAUUAUAGUUUGCUGAUCCGAGGAUGGUGCUGAUGCCGAUGUCUCCCUUGGUCACGAAGACUCCUAUAUGGGAAAUGACUCUGGAAAAUCCAUGCUACUUUGUCUUCACAUACCAGAAAUACUAGUUAAAUUCAAACCAGUGCUGCGAUCUUAAAAUCAGAUUUUCUCUUCGUAUGGACAAUGUAUGAGCCUGUGUCUUGCUUGAAUGAAUAAGAUUUUUGUUCUGGUAAGUGGACUGUUUCUGAAAUGUAACUCUGGAUCAAGUUCUACACACUGAGAACAGGGACGUAUGGCUAACUAUGGAAAAAGUCUGACAAAUGCUUAUUUAUCAUCAAUAAAAAAAUAUCAGCUCUGCA